UUUAAUUUAUUUUCAAUGCCUUUUCAACGAACAUAUAUAUAGUUUUGAACUUAGAUGGUUAAUCGGUUUGUCAUGGUUAAUCUACUUGCAGAAAGGAUUUGUGUACCGUGAGAACCACAGUUCACCAGGAUAUUAUGACGGACGUUACUGGACAAUGUGGAAGUUGCCUUUGUUUGGAGCAACUGAUGCUUCUCAAGUGUUGAAGGAGCUUGAUGAAGUUGUUGUUGCUUACCCUAAUGCCUUUGUCCGUAUCAUCGGAUUCGACAACGUUCGUCAAGUUCAAUGCAUCAGUUUCAUUGCACACACACCUGCGGUCUACUAAAUUUGAGUGUUAAAUCACUCUCAGCUGCCAUUGGAAGAACAUCUUUUUCUCUCAAUUUGUUCUGAUUGUAAUGUCUUCCUUUGUUUUUUGGUUUUCGCUUUCGGAUUUCAAAAUGCAAAUGUAUGGAUAAGAGUUAAUAAAUGAAAUGGUACCUUUUUCAUUCUCAAGUUAGUAGUAUAUGUUGUUUUCCUUGUAAUGGCUUGAACUUGAAACUUUAAAUAACAAAGGAACUAAUAGUAUGAUAUUAAAGAAAAAAAAAUUGCAUUUCCACCUAAUUCAUUCUCAUCUUUACCAAAAUUAUGCACAAUCAGUACAUCUUUGCAAGAAAUAUUUUUGACAGAAAUUAUGAACUGAAUAUCGCUGGCGCUCCAAAAAGCAAUCCGCGGUCUCAAACUCAUCUUCAUACGCUAAAUUUUAGGCCUUAGCUUUUACUGGUUGGGAAUUGCAAUUCCUUGCAUACCUUCAGCAUGAUUUCCAUUUAUUUUUUAUUUUCUAAUCUUCCUCAUGCAGUAACAGCCAAUUCACUCACUAUAUGGCAGCCAAUUCCAUCUUUUACGAAUGGAAAAAAUACAUUGAAAUUGACCGUCACAUUGUUAUGGAAAAAGUUUCAACCGCAGUUUUUGCAAUGUCGACUGCCUAUUUCCGCAGUCGAUCAAGUGGCAGACCUGCUCACAAAACAUCUUGAACCUACCCACUUUAAUUGUCUACUUGCCUACCUGAAAGUUCUAAAUAUACAAUACUCAUAUAUUAGUAACUAAAUGAAGGGACUAAAUUGUUAGUGCAAGAUGUGUUUCUUGCACUCCUAGGAACUAAAUGAAGGGACUAAAUUUGAAAGAAACACUAUGAGUGAAUUAUAUUGAUUAUGAAAACUGAAUGAAUGAAUACAUGGGAUACAAUUACAAGUAUUUAAAGACUUUUCUAAUUACUUGAAUCACAAGUAAACUAACAAAUACAAACCAACUUGUUAGUUACUAACCACCAACUUCUCUAACAAACUAGUUGUAACUAACUACUACUUUGUAGUUGAAUUAAUCCACAACAAUAAUACCUUAGCUAAAACUUUAGCUUAAACAAUGCAAGGCAUUCUAUAUUGGUGAUUUUAUUCAUGAGUAAAGUGGACAUAUUUCAAAAAGUAAAAGGAAAUGAUACUAAGAGCCAAAACCAGCUAUAACUUAUAGAAGUGUACAUGUUUUAAUUUUUCAAUAAAUCCUAGAAAAAGUGAGAGAUUCUUGAAGAUUAUAAAUAAUGCUGAAGAUAAAUAGAUCAGAAAUUAAUAUAACCUAAUAAACAAGACUUAAAACUUCAAGGUAACGUCUAUCCGGUAAUGGUCUUGAGCAAGUUCAGAUGGUGCGACGACAUGCACCUAUUUUUUAAGGGCACCAAUAAUCUCUUAUUAAUUUUUUAGUCCUAUGAUAAAAGACGUUGUAUGUAAAGGUUGGGGACAGUAAUCGAUUAAAUUAAGUUGUCCUGCUUUAAUUUCUAAUUUUUUUUUAAGAAUGUUUCGAGAGAUGCUAGUAUCGAACCGAGUACCACAAAGUUGAGAGGUGAUUUUCCAAUCAAGUGAUCUCUCUUUUUACUGGCAUUUUUUCUAAGAAUGUUGAUUGUGAAGUGAUGGAUGAUCAAUAAUUUUGCAGAUAUAAAUGCAAAGAUGAUAAAUUUAAAUGAUUUCGAAGAAAAAAAUUUCUCGGAUCAUAUAGAGCAUCCAAAAUCUCAAGGACAACCCUACUUCCACUAUUAAGUUCUUCUUACUUAUCAUAGUCCACCUUUCAUAACUUUGGAAAAAAAAAUAAAGGAAAAGAAUGAAGUUGUAAUUUUAUUGCAUUUUUUAUGGACCUAUACAACCAUUUUUAAGGGAGAAUAAGUGCCAUUCUUUUGGUUGUUCCAAAUGUAAGUAUCUUCCACGGUAUAAUUGAAAUUGGCGUGGAUGUGAUUUAUGUGGUCAGAGGUCGUAUGAGAUGACUGGGUAUAGAGAAUAUGCGUGUGAGGAUCAUUAGCCGAGAGAACAUAUUUAACCGUAAGCUGAAUGUCAUGAAUAUCUAUAUAAGGAACAAGAGACCCAAGAAUUCCAAGAGUUGUCCAUUGACUAAACCAAAAGGAUGAAGACCCAGACUCAGCACGCCAGACAUAUCAUGCUUUAAGAACAUUUUUAGCUUUGAUGAUGGAGGACGAAGUGGGAGAGCCGUUGGGGCUAUCAGUUGCUUGAGAGGAGGUUUGCCAGAAGAUUGAAUCACGUCCAACACUAGCUUUCCUAAAAGGCAAGUAUUCGCCUCCCUAGCUGAUCUGAUUCCAAGGCCACCAAGAGAUUUAGGACGAGAAAUCUUUUUCCAACCUACUAAAUGAAUGCUUUUAUCAUUUGUACUUCUCUAAAUGAAAUUUCUAGUUGUUUGAUCAAUGUUUUCACAAAUGGAUUGAGGAAACCAACUAAUCUGCAUGUAAUAAGAUGGAAUGGAGGAAAUAAUAGAAGAAAGAAGAGUUAAUCUAUCAGGUUUAUUCAACAAUCUAUUAUUCCAGGAUACCAAUCUUGUUUGCAUUUUCUCAAUAAUAAAAUAGAAAUUAUUCCUUUUCACCCUUCCUUUCAGAAUAGAGAAGCCUAAAUACUUAUCAGGAGAAAUAGUGCUUCUAAUUCCUGAAAUAGAUGUCAGCUUGUUAAUCUUAACUUGAGGAAUGUUUGAGAAAUAGAAAGCUCUAGACUUGGACAAAUUAAUUUUCAAUCCUGAAGCAUGACUAAAGCGGUCAAAUAAAUUAGAAAAGACUCUUAGCUGAGAAUUUCUUGCCUUAGAAAAAAGGAGGUCGCCGUCCGCAAAAAGAAGAUGGGACAACUUCGGCCCUAAGUUGGUGAUGUGGAUGGGUUCCCAGUUUCCUCGGAGGACAACGUUGUUGAUGGAAAUUGAGUGUUUUUCCAUACAAAGAAUGAAAAGAUAUGGUGAGAGUGGAUCACCUUGUAUGAGGCCAUGAGUAGGCUUGAAGGGAGACAUCUUUUUCCCAUUCGAGAGGAUAGAGAAAGUGGAGGAGGCAACGCAAUGCAUGAUAAGAUUGGUUGUGAUAGUAGAGAAACUGAAAUCUUGAAGAGUACUCUUGAGGAAGUCCCAGUUGAAAAUAUCAAAAGAUUUCUCAAGAUCAAGUUUGAAAGCAGCAGAACCUUUUUAUUUUAGACCUUCUCAUAAAAUAAAAGAUUUCCUGCAAAACAAUGGCAUUGUCAGAAGUGCUUCUGCCUGGAAGAAAGUUGCUUUGGUAGAGACCAAUAAUAAUAUCAAGAAUCGGUCUUAAAAGAUGGAGUAAGACUUUAGUGAUAAUCUUGUAGACAAUAGUGCAGAGGCUGAUCAGUUUAAAAUGUUUAUAAGUGGUGGAAGGCCGAUUUGACAAGACUAAAAAUAUCGUCCCCAACUAUAUGCCAAUAUUGUUUGAAGAAAAUGCAUUGGAAAUCAUAUGGACCCGGCGCCUUAUAAGGCUUCAUGGAAUUCAGGGAUAUAACAACCUCCUCUUUAGUGAUUAAAAAUGAUAGAGUUCUCUCGGAGGUUAUUAUCAUUAUAUAUUAAAUUCAUAUAAUGGAGGUUGUACAUAACUGAUAAAUUUGAGAGAAUAAGAAUAUGAAAAGUGGCAAAUUUUUAAGAAAGGAUGAGGAGAUUUUUUAGAGAUGCCACACAGGAACAAUAGAAGUCUAAGGUUAAUCGAAGUUUAGAAUUCAAGAUAGUAUAGAAGAUAGAUAGAUAGAUGAUAGGUAACGAUUAUUUAUGGAAUUUUUUGAAAAAUACUCUCUAGAAAAACGAAAUACUUUUUAAUUUUGACCGAAAAAAAAUAAUACUUUUUAUUUACAUUUAUUUUAUACGAUUGAGUCAAACAAAAAUUUAUUCCAUGUUUUCUCGAUAGAUGUAUAUAUAGCACAAUUGAGGUCAUAUUCAUCUCAAACAAUAAUAGUUUUAAGCAAAAGAGUAGUGCUAUAUGUCCCGAUAAGAGAUAAAGUUCUAAGCAUGCAUUUUGGCGAAAUACAAGGGUGGGUGGCCAAUGAAAUAUCGUUGUGAGACAAUCACGAUGUAUGGUCUCGUGAUACUAAGCAAUUUCCAAUUCAAAAAUGGAGGUCUCACUCUACGAUAGAGUUUCAAUCAACCCUUUUCUCGAUUAAUGCAUUUCGAUUUUAGUUCAAAAUUAUUUGUUGUAGUCUUGAAUUGAUUUUUAAUUUUUUUUCUUCAGGUUUUACAUCAAAAAAUCUCACGGCGUUCGCUUCCUCCUCACUAGCUGAAAAGAAGAAGGUUAUGUUCAUAACGGGUACAAUUAACACUUGAAAAACUAUACUUUUCAUCUACUUAGGUACUCAUUUCCACUAUGAAACCAUCAAUUCAAAUAAAAUUCAAAUUUAUUAAGAUCUUGACUUGACACCAACUUGGUACCAUAAUUUGAACGUUGUUCGAUUUCACAUCACAUAUUAUGCAUCAUCAAUGAUACAUAUAUGAUUUCCCUAUGAUUAAUUUUUGCAAACACAUGCCUGAAACUCUAUAUUCAUAGCUGAAAAAUGGACAUCUAACCAUUAUUGUAGGAGGGUCACGUUCUUACAUUGAAAUAUUAGUUGAUGACCCAAUCAUUGAAUUUUGUUCAAAAUGUUAUUGUUGUUUCAAAAAUCAAUCACAAUGAAAUCAUAAUCCUAAUUAUUGCUGACGCCUAAUAUGUGAUGUCGAAUCGAACAAUGUUCAUACUCUAAUACCUUGUUGGCGAAAGGUCAAGACCCGUAUAGACUUGAAUUUUAUCUGAGUUGAUGAUUUCAAAGAGGAAUCAAGUACUUAGGUAGAUGAAAAAAAUUAUUUUUUCCAAUUCCAAUUGCUUUCGUUAUGAACAAAACCUUGUUCUUUUCGGCUAGUAUAUUGAGGAAAAAAAAGACAAGAUUUAUUUUAUUUUAUUUUUUAUGUAUAACCUAAGGAAAAGACAAUAAUACAAAUAAGGCUUAGACACACUUUUGACCCCCUAACUUUAAACUAGUUGCAAUCUUGACCCCCUAUUAAAAAAAAAACACAUUUCAGUCCCCUAAGUUUCCCCCUUUUUGCAACUUUCAAUUUUGAUCAUUCAAACUCAACCAUUUAGGACAAUAAAAAUAAGCGGGGUAUUUUGUUUAGCAAGUUUCAGGCGAUCUUGACCUUCUACCAUCUUGAAUGGUUGAUUUUUAAUGAUCAAAAUUAAAAGUUGUAAAAAGGGAAAACUUAAGGGACUCAAAUGUGUUUUUUUUUAAUAAGGGGACAUAAUUGCAACUAAUGUAAAGUUAGGGAGGCAAAAGUGCGUUUAAGUCUAAAAAUAAUUUAAAUAUACAACAAAUGAUUUUGAACUAGAAUUGAAAUGGAUUAAUCUUAUGCAUGUUGUCAAUAAGGAUACUAUGUAUAUGAAGAAGAGAAUCAAUUGAAACUUUAUUUGUGCUAUGUAUAAUGAUGUAUGAUAUAUGGAGAGAGGGACCACUAUAGGCGAGUUUGGAAUCAAUUUUGCAGAAGGUUCAUGGAGGGCGGGUUUAUCGUUGUAGGCGUGGUAGAGGUCUUAGGACUAUCCCGUAGUUUUAUGGUCUUGUAAUAGUAUUUUGAACAAAUUUGAUGUUUUUAAUUUGAUGUUUAAAUAUUUGUUUUGUAUCCUACAAAUAUUUUGUUUUUAAUAUUAUUUUUGAAAAUUGUGUUGUUUCUUAUCUUUUCAUUAUAAUAUUUUAUUUAUUCACAAAUGCAUGUUUAUAUCAAAUGAUUAUGUAAUCUGUAUGUAUUAGAGUGAAAACAAACUCUAUUUCUAUUCUAAUACCUUUCGGAUUAUAUAAUUCGAACAUUUUUAUGACAUUCAGAUUAUAUAAUCUUAAAUAUGCGUUUUUUUACACCACAAUUUCCCCUUCUGGGGUGUUUGCUGCAUUUUUCUAAGAAUGUUGAUUGUGAAGUGAUGGAUGAUCAAUAAUUUUGCAGAUAUAAAUGCAAAGAUGAUAAAUUUAAAUGAUUACGAAGAAAAGAAAAAAAAAAUCUCAGAUCAUAUAGAGCAUCCAAAAUCUCAAGGGAAACCCUACCUCCACUAUUAAGUUCUUCUUACUUUUCAUAUUCCACCUUUGAUAACCUAGGAAAUAAAAUAAAGGAAAAGAAUGAAGUUGUAAUUUUAUUGCAUUUUUUCUGGACCUAUACAACCACUAUAUGCUCACGUUCCUACUUAGAAAUUAAAAUUAAAUUGUUCUAAUUCAAUGUUAUAAUCAGAAAACUAGCUUUGAAGGAAGGAAAUGUCUUACUCGAUAUGACUUUGUCCACCGAAACUGACAUCAAGGGGGGAUCGAACGUGAAACUUUGAGAGAAACAAAUUCCAAGAUCACAAAUUAACCACAAGGUCAACCCCAAAUGAGUUUUUUUGGUUACCAUUAGAAAACCGUGUAUAUUUUAACAUAAUUUGGAUGAUUAAUUAUGUGUAGUAUAUGUGUAUUUAAACACUUAAAAAUGAUGGCUAAUUGUAUUCAUUUAAUGAUUAAUAGAUUGCUACCAAAUAUAAUUAACCACAUCUUUGCAGUUUGUUACACCCAAAAAACUAACCACAUAUUUGAACCAUGUUAACCAUCUAAUUGAUGUCAAAUUUGUUUGUCAAAGUAAUACAACUCAUCAUCGAUUUGUGAGUCUUGACAUUUUCUACAAAUAAAUGUAUACACAAACCGAUUGCUAUAAAUAUGAUACACUUAUUCUUUAUCCCUAUGAGGAGCCAAAGCCUGAAAAAAAAACUAGUACCAUACACGAUUGAUAUUUUUAGUUUUUUGGUCAAGUGGUUUAUAUUUAUGGAAGCAUUAAUAGUCACACAACUACACGUGGCAAUUUCAUAUUGGUGGCUAAAGAUAAGGCACCACAAAAAUUUCCAAUCUUGUUGUGUGGUUAAUGGCUGCAAUGUUUAUCAUUUUCACAAUCAAACAAAAUUGUAUUAUGCAGCAACCAGUUACCACAAUUUUUAGAACCAUAAUAUUGGAAAUACAAAAAUAAAGACAUUAUAUAUAGCAAGUUUGAGUAUAGGCUUUGAAAUUCAAGCAGAAGUAUAUCUUACAUUACUAGUGAACUAAGUAAGGGAGAAAAAAAAUGGCUUCCUCUAUGAUUUCCUCUUCAGCUAUGACUACAGUUAACCGCGCCUCUUCGGUACAAUCCGGCGCGGUGGCUCCAUUCGUUGGACUCAAGUCCAUGGCUGGCUUCCCAGUUACAAAGGUCAACAAGGACAUUACCUCUAUUACAAGCAAUGGUGGAAGAGUAAACUGCAUGCAGGUGAGAAAAAUAAUAGGCCUACUAUUUUAGUUUAUUAUUAGCAUAAUGGAAACAAUUUAUGACAUGUCUGUAAACUGUUUUCAUCUUAUAUUUUCAUAAGCUCUUCAGGAUAGUAGGAUAGUUUAUGAAAACAGCUUAUAGAUUAUAUGAAAAUAGCUUAUAGAUUCAUUGAGAAAUGCACACAAGUUUGUUAACCCUUUUGUUCAAUUUUAGGUGUGGCCUCCUAUUGGCAAGAAGAAGUUUGAGACACUUUCAUACCUUCCACCAUUGACCAGAGAACAAUUGGCCAAAGAAGUUGAAUACCUUAUAAGGAAGGGAUGGGUUGCUUGCUUGGAAUUCGAGACCGAGGUCUAGUUUUAAUUUAUUUUCAAUGCCUUUUCAAUGAACAUAUAUAUAGUUUUGAAUUUAGAUGGUUAAUUGGUUUGUCAUGGUUAAUCUACUUGCAGAAAGGAUUUGUGUACCGUGAGAACCACAGUUCACCAGGAUACUAUGACGGACGUUACUGGACAAUGUGGAAGUUGCCUUUGUUUGGAGCAACUGAUGCUUCUCAAGUGUUGAAGGAGCUUGAUGAAGUUGUUGUUGCUUACCCUAAUGCCUUUGUCCGUAUCAUCGGAUUCGACAACGUUCGUCAAGUUCAAUGCAUCAGUUUCAUUGCACACACACCUGAAGUUUACUAAGUUUGAGUAUUUAAUCACUCUCUGCUGCCACUGGAAGAACAUUUUUCGUUGUUUUUCGAUUUACGCUUUCGGAUUUCAAAUGCAAAUGUAUGGAUAAGAGUUAAUAAAUGAAAUGGUACUUUUAUUCAUUCUGAAAUUAGUAGGAUAUGUUGCUUACCUUGUAAUGUCUUGAACUUGAAAUUUUAACUAACAAAGGAACCAACAGUAUGAUAUUAAAGAAAGAUAAAUUACAUUUCCAGAUAAUUCUUUCUCAUUUUCACCAAAAUUAUGCACAAUCAGUACAUCUUUACAAGAAACUUUUUUGAGCAGAAAUUAUGAACUGCAUAUCGUUGACGCUCCAAAAAGCAAUCCACGGUCUCAAAGUUAUUUUCAUACGCUAAAUACUAGGUCUUCGCUUUUACCUUCUGAAUGACAGCCAAUUUACUCACUAUAUUGCAGCCAAUUCGAACUUUUAUGAAUGGACAAAAUACAUCGAAAUUGACCGUCAUAAUUUUAGGGAAAAAGUUUCAACCAAAGUUGUUGCGUGAUCUUACUGCCUAUUUCCGCAGUCGAUCAAGUGGUAGACUUGCUCACAAAACCUAUUGACCCUACGCCCUUUAAUUGUCCAGUCUUCAUCUGUUAGUAGAUAAUCCUUUUGUUUGGCUUUUCAAUCAUGUUUGUAUUUCCUAUUCUAUAACUUCCAUCAUGAAUAACAUUUUAAGUUCUUCACAUUUGAUAAUACCUUAGCUGAAAAAAUGUAAGGCUCUCUGCAUUGGUGAAAAUAUUUAAAAGAGUAAAUCAAAAUGAUACAAGAGCCAAAAACCAGAUUUUACUAUUCAGAGUUUGCUAUUUAUUUAUAGGGCAAUGCUAAACCGUGCCCCCAGAGGCAAUGGUUAAGCAUCCAAAACAAGAAAGUUUUCACAAAAAAAGUAAUGUAAUCGUUAUUUAGUCAAAAGUGAGACCUUAUGUUUCCAAGACAAAAUUUCUAUUCAUGGAUUCCUUAACCAAUGCCCAAGAAGCACUGGUUAACAAGACCCUUAUUUAUAACACUCCUUCUCAACUUAGUGAGUGGAUAUAAAUUAUUCCAAGCUUGCAAGUAAAAAGGUUGAAUCAUUCUGUCGGACAGAAAACUCUUUGUUAACACAUUUGUCUGUUGAUGCCCAAAAGGAACAUAAGCUGUAGUUGUCAGUUCUGUUGUGAAUUCGGUAACUUCAAAUCUUACACCAAUGAAAUUUAGAUUUGUGGUGAAGUAUCAAUGUAAACUAAUAACCACAAGCAACAACAACAAUUUUAGAUCUAAUCUAAAAACUAAGUGUAAAGCAAAACCACAAUCGAACAAAAGAAGAAACAAGAUAAAGAGAAUAGAGAAAAAGAGCAACGCCAAACAACCGUUUACCUAGUUCGGUCUAUCAUUGACCUACUUUGGGAAAGAGAUCAAGUUCCUUACAAAGAGAUACAAAAAAGGGUUACAAGAAAUUCGCUUCAACAAGUUCUCCAAGACAAAACCUAAUUUCUACCUUUUUCCCAAUCUCAUUCCAUGAACAAGAGACUCAAUGAUUUCACUCACCAAAGGUGUUUCCCAAUUGUUUUUCAACUCUAGAAUCUAACCCCCCAAAAGAGAACCAAUCCAUAUCCUUUGAUUUCCCAAAAAUAUUCUCUUUUGGUUUUCCAAGACUCACUCAAGUUGCUCGCAAAACUCUCCUUUGAUGUGUUUUCCAAAAGGGUCUUGUUACAAGUGUCCCCGGGACACUCUUUAAGCAUUCCAAAAUUAGUAAUUAUUUUUUAAAAAAGUUAAAUGUUUCGAUUUCCAAUGCAUUGAUUACACACUUUUUUAUAAAUACAUACUACUUAUAGUCCUUAAAGAGUGUCUCAGGGACACUUGUUAACAUUUCCCUUUCCAAAAUUGUGCCCCAAUUUUCCAAUUCAUACACGAUCGAUGCAAGGGAAUGUUAUCCAAAAUCAUACCCCAAUUUUUGUCGAACCAAAACUCCAAUUGAACUUCACAUUGUAUCUUCAAAUAUAUAUUCCAACACUUGUUUCAUCCAUAAUAGCUCACAAAUUCCUAGUGCCAUAACUCUAUAUUUUUCCUCAACGAUUGAUCAAUCAACUACACUUUACUUCUUAUUCCUUCAAGCAAUAAGGUUCUCACACAAUAAUGUACAAUGGUUAGAAGGAAAUCUUCUACUUGCAUGACCCACCCGCAAACCGUACCGGAUCCUCAUGGAAUAUUGCAUAACACUUUAUCGUUCCAACUUAUCACUUGGCUGUAUCAAUUUGUUUGAUAAAGUUUCAUCUGAAGUAUAUACUAUACACACACAAAAAUAAGAAGAAUUUCAAAAUUCAUUCUAAUACUCACAGCACAUUCCUAAAAAAAUAUAUAUAUAUAUAUAUAUACUCAUAGCACAAUAUGUGCCUAAUAUUAAGAAUAAUAACAACAGUUUAAAAGAUCGAACGACAUGUUGUUAAAGCCAAUGAUUUAACAAUUAACACUGAUUUUAACCAUAGAUUUGAACCUGAUUAUGCUCUAUAAAAAAUAAUAAAAUGAACAACACCUUUGUAUUUUGACACAUGUUAUAAACACAUCACUAAAACAGCACAAUCAACUUUCAUUUCGACUCUUUUUUGUUCGCAUCAAAGUUAGCUAGGAAAUAGCAAGCACAAAUGUACUUUUAAUACAAACAAUUAAUGGAGACGGAAAAAUCAAUUGUAGUUUUAUAACCAAUAGAUAGCCAAAUCCUAUCCCAUAAACAUACUCCAUAAUAAACAAACCAACUAUGAAUGAACAUAAGUUAUCUAUUUUAGAAGCAUUCAUCAUCCAAUAUACAUUAUAAUUCAAGCCUUAAAUGCUAACACAUUUAAGCUUCUUUGCCAAAAAAAAUUCAAUCGUUACUUUCUUCACAAUAUAGACCCUUCAAGAACAUCAACUUCUCCGUGGAUAACUCUUUAGAGAUAACACAUGCAAAACAAAACGCGGCAGUUGGAGAGCAAAUAACAAAAAGUGAUGAAGAUAGUAAUGGAGAGCAAGCAUGGAAACUACAACAAAAGUAUAUAUAUAACCAGCCUUCCUUCAUCAUACGUAUAAAUAGGACAAAAUAAUCCUUUUGUAAGUUGGUUUGUGUUUUAGUGGUUCACUUAUUGGUAAAGCACAAUAGCCAUUGGAGGUACUAUCUUGUUCCAAGAUUAAUUUACAUGCUAGAGAAACAAAUAUUGGAGUUCCUAGAAGAAAAAAGAAUACGGCAGUUGAUGUUGAUGUGGGCGUGAAACAUUGAUGGAAUGAAAAUGUGAUAGGCAAGAAUUGGAGUCCCUAGAAAUUAGAGUUCCAAGGUUAGCUUGCAUAAGAGAACGGACGAAAGGAUGGAAUGGAUGAUUAGGAAAGUUGAACAUUCUUGAUGAGGCCAAAGACAUUGAAUACAUAUUGGCGCCUUCCUCGUCUCUAAUAUAUAUGCCAAUACCUACUCGAUUGUCAUUAUUUGAAAAAGAAGCGUUUAUGUUACAUGUUUAAUACAUUUAUUACUAUAUGAUAUGAAUAUCUCUCAUAUUCUUAAAAAAAUAAAAUCUCACAUAUUUAUUUGAUAAUUAUAAAAUAUAUUUUUCAAUUAGUUUUUCUUGUUAAUGUGAAUAUGAUUUGAUAUAUAUUCGGUAAUUAGUUGAAAGCAACAUAUAUAUUAGAAAAUAUGAUGCAAUAAUAUUUUAAAUAAGUUAUAAUUUUAUUAUAUGGUCUAUGAAGCCCAGAUACAUGAUACGAUUCGACACCGAUACGGGAAAAUUUUAAAAUAUAAGAUACAAUACGGCUUGGAUAUACUUCAAUAAAAAAUUAAAUUUAAACUACAUAUUAAAACUCAAAACACAAAAUAUGGACUAAAACUCAAAAGCAAAAAAAUUGGUGCAAAACCCAGACCAAACAAAAUAGAAAAAGGAUAAGGCACAACAAUGAAAUUGCCUUCACACAACAAUCAACAAUUUCAUCGUUCUCAAACAAACAAAGAGAGAUGAAAGAGACGACAACAACAAUAGAAAUAUAAAUGUAACUAAUAUUAAUAAUAAAGAAAGCGAAAAUUAGUCAAUUACAUAUGUGAUAUAUCCUAAAUAGAAAACAUCAUUACUUAGUCAAUUACAUAUAUACCAAAUAUGAUAGAAACAUCAGGUAGCCCGCACAUAUCAGUUUUCCACCUCCUAUCGCUCUUAUCCCAGAUGUAUCUGAAAAGUAUCGCAUAAUUGUUUUUUUAAAAAAAUAAAAUUUCAUAUUCGGAUACUCUCCUGAUACGUAUCGAGAAGUAUCAAGCAUGUAUCAGUGCAAGAUACACAGGGGAUAAUGUUCAUCAUCCAUUUUGAAGUAUCUGGACUUCAGAGUAUAUGGUACAAAAUAUACAUGUGAAUCAAAAAGAAAAUAAUGACGAAGAUUAUGAAGUUUUUGUGUUUUUUAAAUGUGUGAAAUUUUAUUAAUUUUUUUAUAAAAAAAGUUUAUUUAACUUUUAUAUUAUGAAAUUUAUAUCAUCAUAUUUUUUUAUAAAGAUUGGGUUAAUAGUUAUGCGGUCCGAUCAAUGACCAAUUGAUCCAACCAUUGACCUAAUGACCCAGUGUUUUGGCCGAAUCGACUACCGGUUCGGGUUUUUAAAACACCGGAUUCACUGCAAGUAUUGGGUCAUUUACUCAUGUAAUUCAUUGUUGCUGGGAUAACUAACAUAUUUCAGGUCCUCCUCUAUGUCUGACCCGAAUUCCCAUAUAGAGAGAUAUUUUAAAUAGGAACCAAACGCAAGUACUGGACAUAACAAUAUAAGAUAGAACAACACAUCAGAAGGUAGAACAACACAUGACAAAUUUUUAUGGCAUUGAAUAAUUUUUUGUUUUAUACAAUUUUUGGGUACGAAAUGCUAUUUUUGUAUUUUUGACAACCUGUACGUGAGACAAAAAGUUGUGAUGUGGUUUGAUGAGGGACAAAAAUAUCAGCUUUUGUCAUGUCCCUUGCCUCCAGUUUGUCCUGUACAUGAAACAAUUUUACAAAUCAAACACUGGACAACUGAAGUUGUUUUGUCCUAUCCUUUAUUUUUUAGCAAAUCAAAGGCACCCAUUAUAUUAUUUCAGUGUUUUAGCUAUUUCUAUCUCAUAGUGGAUUUUCGAUUUUGCCAAAACCGAAUCAAUUCAUUGUUUAAGAGGACUAUGAUUCAUCUCCUUCAUAGAUGCUUGCAAGUAUUCUUAGUUUUAUGUUCGAAUUAGGGGAUGUUUGGUUUCUUACUAAUCCGCGGUCAAUGUUUGAAUUUCUGUACUAAUACAUCCAUAAAAACUUGAUUUGUUUUGACAUGUGGACAAUAGCAAAAAAGUGUCCUUUUUUUAAGGAAAGCAAAAAAGUUUUUGAACAAGAGGAAAGCAAAAAAGUGCCCUUAGCAUUUAUUAAAGGAAUACAAAUUUUAGAUGGUAUUCUGGUUGCUAAUUAGGUAGUUGAUGAAUCUAAAAAAUUGAAAAAAGAAUUGCUUUUAUUUAAAGUCGACUUUAAGAAAGCAUACAAUUCAGUUGAUUGGAAAUAUUUGGAUGAUAUUAUGGUUACGAUGUUGUUUCCGACUAUUUGGAGGAAAUGAAUGAAAAAAUGUGUUGGGACUGCUACUGCGACUGUUUUAUUGAAUGGUAGUCCCACUGAGAAAUUCACUUUAGCUAGAGGUCUGCGACAGGGAGAUCCCCUUUCACCUUUCUUGUUCCUUCUGGUGGUUGAGGGGUUUCAUGUGAUGAUGGAGUCUAUUGUUAAUACUAAUAAUAUUUUUAGUGAUUACAAAGUAGGGGGUCGGCCAUUAACUAUUUAUAACCCUCAGUUUACGGAUGAUAACUUUGAUUUUGGGGGAAAGAAGUUGGGCUAAUGUUCGAGCUAUGCAUGUCACCCUUCAUCUUUUUGCAGCGAGGUCUGGUUUAAAGGUUAAUUUCCACAAAAGUGAGUUAGUUGGCAUAAACAUUGGUGGGUCUUGGUUAGCUAAAGUUGCGGCGGUUUUGAAUUGUAAGGUUACAACAUUGUUUGUUUUGUAUGUGGGCCUCCCUAUUGAUGGAGAUUCUCGUCGAUUGAAUAUUUGGGAACCGAUGGCUAAUCGUAUUAAGUCCCACCUGUCAAGUUGGAAAAGUAGAAAUUUUUCUUUUCCAUUUGUUUGGACAUGGAAGUUGGUGUUUUGGAGGUUAUGAGAAUCAGAGAGUUUAAUUUAACGUUGUUGGGUAAGUAGUGUUGGAGGCUGGCGGUGAAUUGAAAGGGUCUCUGGUUUAAAGUCUUGGUUGAGAGGUACGGGGUUGUUGGGGGAGGUUGGAGGAGGGUGGUAGGGAUGGAUGAGUGUGGUGGAGGGAGGUAGCAGGCAUCCGUGAUGGCGUAGGUGCGGGUGAAGGAUGCUGGUUCACUGAUAAUUUGCGCAUUAAGGUUGGUAAUGGUGCCACCGCUUUGUUUUGGUUGGAUAUGUGGGUGGGUGAUGUUCCUCUUCGGGACAAGUUUCAUCGUUUAUUUGAUUUAUCAGAAAAUAAAGACUCGCCUAUCGCUCAAAUAUUUUCGUUAGGGUGGGGUGAGGGAGGGGAGGCUUGGAAGUGGAAGAGAAAAUUAUGAGCGUGAGAGGAGGAGAUGGUAGAUGAGUGUAGGGUGUUACUGCUGACUGUUUCUUUGUAGGGUGAUGUUCAUGAUGUUUGGUCUUGGGGUCCUGAUCCAAUUGGUGGGUAUUCGGUCAAUGGUGCAUGAUGUAGGAGGGUUUCCAUAGUAUUUUAUUAUUUCAAUCUAAUUUUAUUAUUGGUUGUUUUGUUUUCAGUUUUUUUUUUGCCCAUUAGGGUUUUGUUAUUUCCCUAGUUAAGCUUUAACAUUGUAGGCCAAAGAGGCAACUUUUAUUCAUUCAAUAAUAUUUUAGAGAGUUUUUCUCAAUUUUUGGUGGAUUAUGGAACCCUAUUUUCACAAGUUCAUCGCUUACAAACUUGUUCCUUUCAAUCUAGGUUUAGCGCUUGCUAGCCUAUCCUUCCGUACUAGUCAGUUGGUAUCAGAGCAGGUUUCUCCUGUUCUUUUCCUAACAUGAUCAGCCAUAGGCCGGGCAGGCCUUGAGGGAGUGCAAGGUGCUCAAUCAAGCCGGGCCUCCAAAAUCUAUGGGCCUCCGAAAAAAUUAACUCUAAUACCCACCCCACUUAAAUAUAAAAAUAUAUAUGUUACUUCUUUACACGUUUGAGUUUCUUCUAGACUUUAGUUCUCCUAUCUGGACAUAAAUUUGGUACUAUCAAACCACUACCAAUUGGUAUAAUGACUUAAUCAGUCAAUUUGAAAAGUUAUUUCAUAGAAAGAAUCACAACAAUCAUUUCUUUUUCACAUAAACCAUUCGUUUUCCCCUUUCCCACAACGGAUAAUUGACAUAUUCAAAUGACACCGUUUGUAAAUUCUACCUCUCUUUCACUUAAUUUUUUUGUAUUUCGUUUCAUGUUUACAAGCUCUUCUGAUUCUGAUUUUUUAAUAAAGCUUAGCUACACAAAAAAAUUACGUUUUUAUUUUAUUGGGGAUCUAUUUUAAAUAGAGAGCCGAGCCUUCUAUUUCAUAGGGACGGCCCUAUAGGUGAUCAAAAUUAAAUGGAAAGUUUAGUCUUCUUUAUCAUUCCCUUCUUUUCAAUUAAAGUUGUCGUCCCUCUAAAUUUCCAUUCCCUAUUUCAAUUGUCGUUCAAGUUAUUAACUUCAUCCAAAGUCCAUUUAUUUCAAGUGCUGCUACAUAUUACUUUCUUUUUUCAAUCGAAUUGCUGGCUGUUGUGUAUCAUAUUUUGCUGGUGGCUGUUUGAAUUGAAUUUGCAUGGUUAGAAAUUCAACAUUAUGUCGUGCCCUUAUAAUCUACCUCCUCCGGUCCUAUAUAUAAGAAACAAUUUACUUUUUUGAUUCAUUGAAUAGUUGAUGUAUUUGGUCUAUUUCUGAACUAGGUACAUCAAUUAUUGAAUGAAUCUAAAAAGUUAACUUUUUCUGAUAAAUAAGACCGGAGGUAGUAUAUGAUUGCCGCAACCAUUCUUCUUUUUAAUUAAAGUUUCCAUCUAAUUAAAUUUAAUCCAACCAUGAGAGAUCAACAGGUCGUGAUUUUAACUGCGGCCAUCAAAGCACUAUCAGAUCAGAUGGCAACGUUGAUAGCUAAGGUUGACGAGAUAAAAAACAGUAACAACAACAGAAAUGAUCCGAACAGAGGAGGAGGAUCAAUUCCGGUUAUUAGGGUUCGUAAUAACAACCAUAUUAUUGUUAUGUAUCGAAAAUUAGAACAUACUCGUGAAGGUGAGAAAAAACACAAGAAGGGGGGGUUGAAUUGUGUUUUCUUUUUCUCUCUAAAAAAUACUUCUUCUGAUAAAAACUUCAGAAGCAGUUUGUGAAUGCUUCUGAUGAAAUGAUCAGAAUCAGAUAUGCAGCGGAAAAGAUCAAAGCAGAGAAAAGAAAAGCAAGACACAAGCAGUUAUCCUGGUUCCUUCCACAAAAUGGAAGUAGUCCAGUCCCCCUUGCACUUCCAAGGAGAUUUCACUAUAAUCACAAAGAUUACAAAUGCUCAAUACUCUCUAAGUAUGAGACUUCUCAAAAAUGCUCAAGCACACACGCAAGAGUCUUCCAAUGCUCAAGCACUAAGCAAGAGUCUUCUAAUGCUCAAGCACGCAGGCAAGAGGCUUCUGAUCAAACAAAAAUACAAUGAAUUAAGUUUGACUUGAACACUUGAUAUACAAUCAGUGGUGUUCACAAUACAAUACAAUAAAGACUCUAGACUUUUGAAUUUCUAAGAUGUAUCAAAUCAGUGCAGAAAUUCAGUGUGCUUUGUAGAAUCAAAUUGACAGAGUUUUGGCGCUUUUUAACUUGUGUAUCUCUAUCUACAAUCUUCAAGUCUUCACUCCUUUAUAUAGAGGCGUGAAAGAGACGUUGAGAUAAUUAGCACGUCUAAAGAGUCGUUUGAAAUCCUUUGAUCAUUCACCAGUAAUCCUUUGCCUGAUUUGGGUGUAGUCCUUUGAAGAAUUAGCUUCAAAUUCAUUCCCAUCUUGAAGGCACAAAUUCUGCAGGCAUAGCUGUUGUCUUGUCUUGUAGCGUGGACAAAACAGAGUAGUGGAGGUAGUGGUUGUACACUUGUACUUUGUCAACUCUGUUAACGAAGGACAAAUACUCAGUGCUAUCCAAAUGACCGUUGAUACCUCCCUUUCAAUUCUUCGUUCUUCUUAGAUAAUGUUGAAAUGAGAAACAGCUACUUUGGAUCUUCAGUUUGAAUUUACGGAUAAAAUGUAGCUUCUGGUGAUGAUAUCGCUUCUGAUGAAAACCUUGCUUCUGAUGAGCUUCUGCUUCUGAUGACGUCAUCACUUCAGAUGCACUUCAGCUUCAGGAGCACUUCAAGCUUCAGACGCAGUUUUCUUCAGAUGCUAUGAAUUCCUUUGCUUUCCAUUGUUCUUCCAAGACCUAUUGAAAUUACUUGACUAGCAUUUGGUCCUGUAUACUUGAACAAUAAUUAGAAAUAACCAAUUGACAAUUUUUAAUACCUUGUUAUCAUCAAAACUCAUUAAGGUUCAUUGUAAAACACAUUUUGUUCCAACAACUCGUGAAUCUGAACAAGUUGAAGGAUGAUCAUUACGAGUUUAAAAUCUCCGAUUCGAUAUAUCGUUGUCCGUUUUGUUACAACAAGGAUUCCUUGACCGACCUUUUGAGACAUGCUUUUAGAAUUGCAGGUAACUUGCGUAAGACGGUUAAAGAUAUUGCCAAACAUUCAGUUUUGAUAACAUACAUUCUAAGGUAUCAUAAUGUUAAUGUUGAUAAAAAUAAGCCACUUGAUGUUAAUAUUGCUAGUGAUAGCCACUUGGUGUCGGUAUUGCUAGCGGUAAGCCAGUUAAUUUGAGUGUCGUUGAUCAGAAGUCGCUUGGUAUGAAUGUAACUAAGUGUCAGCUAGCGAACGUGAAUGUUGUUGAUAGUUUUGUUGCCACAAUGGAAGAAUACAUUAAGGAAUCCACCAAUGAGAAGAUUUGUACAACAUAUUUCUCUAAUAAGAAGCCGCGGUUAUCCUCCGAUGCAUGCUCAGAGAUGCCAGAAAUAAUUAUCACCGAAAUUGAGAGUACGAUGGAUGUUAAUCCUCCAGAAUCUGCUGCGAUAAUCAUCCAGGCUUCAAUUAGAGGAUAUUUAGUUCGGAGAGCACUUCUAAAGAGUAAGAAUGUAGUGAAGUUGCAAGCUGUUGUUCGCGUUCACUUGGUUAGAAGGCAUGAUGUUGGAGCAUCGCGAUGUAUUCAAGCUAUUACUAAAAUGCAAGCUCUGUUUUCAGUUCCGAAUCACAAUUCAACAAUGGGAUUAGGAGUCAAUAUUGCAAGAAUGAAAGGGGGUGAAAUUUAAGGAAGAUGAUUCCCAGAGUAUUGACUGUGAAAUAGUGGAGAAAAUGGAAGCUCGAUAAGUGCCAUAAUGGUUAUUCGUGAAAUAGAUGAUGGUCAAUAUUUGAUGCUUCGGAAUAUGUUACCUCUGAUGUGAUUCAAACACCACUUGAAGUUUUCAAAAGCAUGGAAGCUGAUGGGUUUCCCAUUAAGCGUGGUCGUGUACCCAUCACCUAUGCACCUGAUAUUUUGGAAAAUAAUAUUUUGCUUCUGCCAAAGAAUCUGAGCGUUAUGAAUGUCACCAAACCAGAGUUCACCAAAGAUCAAAAUGUAUAUCCUAAUCAAAGCACAAAACUCUAAUGGGAUGAGAAAUGGAAAUAGUUUUGAUGCUGGAACAGUUCAUACUACUAGUUUGGACAUAACUUCUUUGAAUUUCAUUCAAUGGGAUCGUGGAGGGUGGUCGCUUUGUUCAUUGGAGGAGUCAACAUUCAUGGGAAGCUCUUUAUCAGAAUAAGAACUCGGGCUCGAGUUCUUCAGAGGUGGAGGAGACUCAUGCACAAGAGUUUCCAUAGUAUUUCAACCUAAUUUUAUCAUUUGUUUGUUUUGUUUUCAGUUUGUUAUUUUUGGCCCAUUAGGGUUUUGUUAUUUUCCUAUUUAAGCUUAAUAGUUGUAGCCUAAGAGACAACUUUUAUUAAUUCAAUAAUAUUUUAUAGAGUUUUCUCAAUUUCUGGUGGAUUCCGGAACCCUAUUUUAACAAGUUUAUCGCUUGCAAACUUGUUUCUUUUCAAUCUAGGUUUAACGCUUGCUAGCCUCCGCUUCCGACUGCGUCAAUGCAUACCGUAUUCUGACUGACGCGAACUCCCUCCACACUUUCAUUCCAUCAGACUUAUUGUGGAGAAAGGAGUUCACGUUGAAGGUCUCAGUGUUUGCUUGGCGACUAUUUCAGAAUAGAUUAUCAACAAAGGGGAAUUUAUUUUGUCGCGAGAUCAUACCUCAUGAGUCUCAAUUAUGUGUUAGUGUUUGCGGUAAGGAGGAAACAACCCAACUUUUAUAUUUAGGUUGCAUAAUGUUUGGUUCUAUUUGGAAACUUGUUCGAAAUUGUCUUGGAGUUCAUUUGGUCGAUCCGUUGAAUAUUGUUGAUCCGUUGAAUCACGUCGGUCAUUUAUGUUCUUGAUUUGGUUUGCGACUUUUUGAUCGAUUUGGAAGGAAAGAAACAUCAUGAUUUUCGAUGGCAAAGAAAAUGCUAUAUAUAUAUAUAUAUAUAUAUAUAUAUAUCUUUUUGAUAUCUUAAAGCAAAAGGAAAAAAGGGUCCUUAGCCAAUCUUUUAAGAAAAAAUAAAAUAGGGCUUAAAUAAAUUUUUGAUUGCAUAAAAUUUUGCAUUUAGUUCCUCUAAAAUUGAAAUUCUUAAAACUAAUGAAUAAAUUUAUUUUGUAUUUGGGGUUUAGGGUGUCACAUAGAUAAUUAUAUACGAGGUUUUUUUUAAAGGAAUUUAUAUAUAAGGUUAUAAUUGCACCAACAACAUAUUUUUCACCCGGAAAAAAGAGAGAAAGAAAAGGUUGUAAUUACAUGUUAUUAAAAAAAGAUAACAAUUUAUUUAUGGAAUUUUUUCCUAACUACUUUCUAGAUAAACGUAAUACUUUUUUUUUAUUUUUUUAUUUUGACCGUACUUUCUAGAAAAACGUAAUUUUUUUUUUAUUUUGAUCGGAAAAAUCAUAAUACUAAUUAUUUACAUUAAUUUUAUACGAUUGAGUCAAACAAAAAUUUAUUGCAUGUUUCCUUGAGAGAGGUAUAUAUAUAGCACAAUGGAGGUCAUAUUCAUCUCAAACAAAACAUUCAAUUAAAUAAUAUAUUACUAAAAAAAUGAAGUUCUCACACUACAGAAGAGUUUCAAUCAACCCUCUUAGUUAAUGUAUUUCGAUUGUAGUUCAAAAUUAUUUGUUGUAGUCUUGUAUUAAUUUUUUAUGUUUUUUUUUCUUCAGAUUAUACAUCAAAAAAAUCUCAUGGCGUUCGCUUCCUCGUCGCUAGCUGAAAAGAAGAAGGUUAUGUUCGUAAUGGGUGCAACAUACAUCGGAAAAACUAUACUUUUCAUCUACUUAGGUACUCAUUUCCUCUAUGAAAUCAUCAAUUCAAAUAAAAUUCAAAUUUAUAAAGAUCUUGACUUGACACCAACUUAGUACCAAAAUCUGAACGUUGUUCGAUUUUCACAUCACGUUAUGCAUCAUCAAUGAUCCUGAUAUGAUUUCAUUGUGAUUAAUUUUUUGCAAACACAUGCUUGAAACUCUAUAUUUAUAGGUGAAAAUUGACACCUAACCAUUAUUGUAAGAGGGUCACAUUCUUACAUUGAAAUAUUAGUUGAUUACCCAAUCAUUGAAUUUUGUUCAAAAUAAUAUUGUUGUUUUAUUUAGCUUGAUGCUUCUUUGCCUCGUUUGAUUUAAUAUUUAUACAAAAGAGGAGACCAAAUGGUUGAGGCAGAGAUUGUGGAUGAAAUUAGAGAAAAGGAAAAAUUGGAUUCCUAAGCUUGAUUGUUAUUUUGAGAUUGAAAAGGAAAAAUCUCUAAUCUUGUACACAAGACCUGCCUCGACCACUUGAUAAACUCUUUUGUCUACGUAUUGAAACAAAAUAGGCAAAUAAACAUCUAGCCAAAUGAAACAACAUUAAAUCUUUAAACAAAAUGUAAUAAUUGCAUCAUCAACUAAUAUUUAUAAGUGAGAAUUUUCCCUCCUAUAAUAAUGUCUAGGUAACAAUUUUCAACUCUGAAAUAUAAAGCUUCAAACAUGUGUUUUCAAAAAUCAAGCACAGUAAAAUCAUAAUCAGAAUUAUUGGUGAUACCUAAUAUGUGAUGUGGAAUCGAACAAUGUUUAUAUUCAGAUACCUUGUUUGUGACAAGUCAAGAUCCUUAUAGACUUAAAUUUUAUCUGAGUUGAUGAUUUCAUAGAGGAAUCGAGUAUCUAAGUAGAUGGUAAAUUUAUUUUUUCCAAUUCCAGUUGCUUCCAUUAUGAACAAAACCUUAUUCUUUUCAGCUAGUAUUGAGGAACAAAAAACCAUGUUUUUUUUUUUUUUUUUUAUGUAUAACCUAAGGAAAUGACAAUAAUAAAAAUAAUUAAAAACUACAACAAAUGAUUUUGGACUAGAAUCGAAAUGGAUUAAUCUUAUACAUGUUGUCAAUAAGGAUACUAGUUAUAUGAAGAAGAGAAUCAAUUGAAACUUUAUUUGUGCUAUAUAUAAUGAUUUAUGAUAUAUGGAGAGAGGGACGGCUGAAUAUGCAAAUUUGGAAUCAAUUUUGGAGAUUCAUGGAGGGCGGGUUUAUCAUCUUGGGUGUCGUAGGGGUGGCUGAGGUUCUAGGGCUACCCAAUAGUUUUAUGAUGUUGUUGUAGUAUUUUGAACAAAUUUGAUUUUUUUAUUUUAUGUUUGAAUAUUGGGUGUUUGUAACAUAUGGAUAAUUUGUUUUUAAUUUUAUGUUUGAAAUUGUGUUGUUUUUGAUCAUUUUCAUUAUAGUAUUUAUUUAUUUAUUCACGAAUGCAUGUUUAUAUCAAAAGAUUAUAUAAUCUGUAUGUAUCAGAGUGAAAAAAACUCUGUUUUUGUUAUGAUACCUUUCAGAUUAUAUAAUAUGAAAUGUCAUAAAACAAUUCGGAUUAUAUAAUCUAAAAUAUGCCUCUUGUGGGUUGUGGGGUGUUUGACACUUUUCGGAUUAUUUAAGCCAAAUUAUUUUAAGAAGUUUCGGAUUAUAUAAUCCAAAACGUAUGUUUAACUGAGACCUACACAAACAUCUCUAGGGUGCUUUGUCUUCCAAUAGUUUUUAUACUGAUUGGAUUAUAUAAUCCGAACCUAAGGUAUUUUGAGAAAAAAAAUAGGGCGCUCAAGAACCAAAUAGGGUGGAAAAAGUAAUGGCUAAUAUUGAUUGCCCCAGUAAGGAGCCAGAGCCUGAAAAAAGUACCAUACAUGAUUGAUAUUUGUGGAGGCAUUAAUAGUCACAAAACUACACGUGGCAAUUUCAUAUUGGUGGCUAAUGAUAAGGCUAGCACAAAAAUUUCCAUUCCUGUGUGGUUGAUAUGGCAGCAAAGUUUAUCAUAUUCACAACCAACAAAAUGGUAUUAUGAAGCAUUACCACAAUUUAUAAGACCAUAAUAUUGGAAAUAGAAAAUUAAAAAUAGUAUAUAUAUAAGUUUGAGUAUAGGUUUUGCAAUUCAAGCAGAAGUAUAUCUUACUAGUGAACUAAGGGAGAAAAACAUGGCUUCCUCUAUGAUGUCCUCUUCAGCUGUGACUACAGUUAACCGUGCCUCUUCGGUACAAUCCGGUGCGGUGGCUCCAUUCGUCGGACUCAAGUCCAUGGCUGGCUUCCCAAUUACAAAGGUCAACAAAGACAUUACCUCCAUUACAAGCAAUGGCGGAAGAGUAAACUGCAUGCAGGUGAGAAAAAACAUGCCUACUAUUUUAGUUUAUUUGAGUUUGUUAUUAGCAUAAUCGAAACAAUUUAUGACAUGUCCGUAAACUGUUUUCAUCUUAUAUUUUCAUAAGCCCUUCAAGAUAGUUUAUGAAAACAGGUUAUAGACUAUAUGAAAAAAGUUUGACUUUAAUUUAUCUUUUGUCAUAAAAAUAACUUUUACAUAUUUAGAGAUUCGUUGAAAAAUGCACACAAGUUUGUUAACCAUUUUGUGCAAUUUUAGGUGUGGCCUCCUAUUGGCAAGAAGAAGUUUGAGACUCUUUCAUAUCUUCCACCAUUGACCAGAGAACAAUUGGCGAAAGAAGUUGAAUACCUUAUAAGGAAGGGAUGGGUUGCUUGCUUGGAAUUUGAGACCGAGGUCUAAUAUUACUUGCAAUAUCUUCUCAAUAUUUAUAAUCGUUGUUUUGUCACGGCCAAGGUCACAGUCACAAAUUUGUAUUUAAAACCCUUUUAAUUUGUGUGUGGCCGAUGUGGCCUCAAUUGCUGUCGAACUGCGGUUUCAAUAACAUCAAAAACCGUUAUGUCGCGACCCUGAUCGUGGUCACGGACCUUUAUUUAAAAUCCAUUUGAGUUUUGAUGGUUAACAUAUGUUUGUUUUGACUUCUACUUGCUUACUUGCAGAAAGGAUUUGUGUACCGUGAGAACCACAGUUCACCAGGAUACUAUGACGGACGUUACUGGACAAUGUGGAAGUUGCCUUUGUUUGGAGCAACUGAUGCUUCUCAAGUGUUGAAGGAGCUUGAUGAAGUUGUUGUUGCUUACCCUAAUGCCUUUGUCCGUAUCAUCGGAUUCGACAACGUUCGUCAAGUUCAAUGCAUCAGUUUCAUUGCACACACACCUGAAGUUUACUAAAUUUGAGUGUUAAAUCACUCUUGGCUACCAUUGGAGGAACAUUUUUUUCGCUCUAUUUGUUCUGUUUGUAAUUUCCUUUUAUUUUUUUAAGGAAAUGUCGUACUGUGUUUUUCAGUUUUACCUUUCGGAUUUUAAAAUGCAAAUGGAUGGAUAAGAGUUGAUAAAUGAAAUGGCACUUCUAUUGAUUCUCAAAUUAAUAUUAUCUAUUGUUUUUAUGAGGUUAUUAGGCAAACUUUUACCAUUGCAUUCCAAAAAGUCUCAAAGCCAUUCGUGGUCUGAAAAUCAUCUUCAGACGCUAAAUAUCAGGCCUCUUACCUUCUACUGUUUGCAAUGGCUUACAUACCUUCAGUAUGAUUCCCAUUUACUUUUCAUUUUCCAAUCUUUAUUAUACCGUUGAUGGCCGGUCUGCUCACUACAUCGCAUCCAAUUCUUCCCUCUAUGAACGAACAAAACACAUCGAAAUUGACCGUCUUGUUAGGGAAAAGGCCUCAAUCGAAGUUGUUUCAUCUACUGCUUAUUUUCAUAGUUGAUCAUUUCCCAAGCUGAAAAUGCUAAAUGAUCAUAUACAAGAUUGUGACUGCACAAGUCCCAUCUUUUUCGGGACACUUAAUGAUUUCUUUUACCAUUUUUUAAUCCUAUAAUAAAGUUUGCAUGGUAAAGGUUAGGGGCACAAACAGAUUAAACAGUCUUGGUUUGAUUUUAUAUAAAAUAAUUUUUUUUAAAUACUUGAUUAUGAACUGAUUAUAAUAAUUUUGCUGUGAAAUAAAAAUGCAGGAUGAUAAUAAUUUUAAUGAUUAUGAAGGGAACAUUUUCUCAACUUACAUUGACAUCCAAAAUAAAAGAGAGGACCUGUUGAGAAUAAUAUGUAUAUAUCCUUAGAAGAUUAUAAAUGUAAAUUUAAAUAUAUUUAAAAUAAGAUAUCAUUAAGAUAUAACUAAUCAUUAUUGGUUGUAUUACAUUACAUCCUUUAACAGCAGCGCUAGCAUUGGAUAUUGAUCCAAGUACAAUGUGAGUGUUAGCAGAGCCGUUGUAAGACCCACGCGUGUCCGGCGGUUACGAAAUUAUAGGAAGUGUAAUCGUCGGGGAGAGAUUCGCGGAAACAUGGGAAAGAGACGUUACAGUUCGUUUGAACCGGUCUCUGUUGCUCCGAGUACUCCCUCGCGGGGAAGGAGAGUGUUGCGAGUAAUAGUACCAAAUGCAGUAUUUGGGUUGUAAUUGUUAUUGGGCCUAAGCAAUUGGGCCUUAGGUGUUUGGCCGGUCCAAAACACUAACAAAUCCAAAACUCUUUUAAAACUAGACUAUUACUUUUACCACCCUCCUCUGUGAAGCCUAAUCAGAUUUACUUUAUAUGUUUUUGAUGAUGUUCUUUAGCUUAGUUUAUCGUUUUAAUAAUUGCCUUAUGGCUAGCAUGUUAUAGCAUCCAUCAUCUAUGUGUCUUGAUCUAGGAUUUACUUGCGUCUUGUGCAAAAGUGUCAUUGUUCAUCUUUUGGCAUAUUGAAUCGAUUCAUCACUAUCAAUUACACUCAAUCAAUUCAUUUGAAGGUUGAAUCAUAUCAUUCUUCAUCCUUGACUCACUUAAAUCGAUUCACUUAUGCAUUGAAUCGUUUCAUCCUUCAUGCGUUCUUGGGUUGUCUUUUGCUAUCUGAAUCGAUUCACUCAUUUAGUGAAUCGAUUCACCAUGUUGAUUUUGUGCGAAAAUUUUGUCUUGUCACUUUUCUCUAUAUAGAGUCUUCCCUUCAUAUCUCUCAAUUUAUUGAAUCAUUUGCAACUAUUCUCUCUAGGCCUCAAAAACUCUUUGCACAUAAAUUCUUCAAGAUUAAACACUUUUUCUUAGAAUCAUUUGUUCUUUGAGUUGCAUUGAUUUGUUAGGGUACUAGUAGGGAUUGUAAGUUUGUUCUUUCAAGAAAAUUGAUUGGGCUUAAUCAAGGUUUUAAAGUGAAGUGAAUAAUCUCAUUCCACCUCCAAACGACUUGGGGGUCUUUCUAACCGUUCUUGAAGUCCAAGGGGAUUCGCUUACCAGACGUAGCAUUGAAGGCUCAACUGAAGAGUUCGAAGGGGUGCACGGGUAUUCAAGGAUUCAAAGAUUCAAGGAGCACCAAAUUCAAAGGUUAUUUGAAGUUUGGGAGAAUGUUUGCAUAGGGGUUGAAGAAUUAGGUUUAAUUUCAAGGAACUCUUGUAAACACAUUGUAUUUAACAUUUGUUACAUAGUGGAUGACCUUGGUGAAGGCGUACUUCAUCAAGAAGAGUAGACGUAGCUCUAGAGAUGACAAGAAAGAGCAAACUACAAUAAAAAUAUUGGUGUUAUCUCUCUUCCCCUAUCACCUUUACUUUUUACUAUUGCAUGUGAUUAAUUGAAUAGUUGUUAGGAUAAUUGCUAGUGUUGAUCUAAGUUGUUUUUCAUCAAAAGAUAAUCUAAUUCAUUGAAUUAGGUUUUACCUAAUUUGCUUAGAUCAAUUGAUUGCAACAUCUAUUCAAUUCUUCAGUUUCAUAUGCAUUGUGUUUUCAAUUGAUAGCUUAGCAAUUCUGUCCAUAUAGGUUUGGUUUGAAAUUGUCUAAAUGUUUUGUAUAUUGUUCAAGGUUUAUUAAAGUUUGAUUGUAUAUAAUAUUUGUAUCAUGAAUCUCUGAAUUCUAGAUAAAAUCGUAUCUCACAUAGAUUUAUCUUUUUGUAAAUUGUUGUGAUUGUUUCCGCACGAUUUCAAUAGUCAAUUUCGUUAAACUCCCUUUUUAUUAACUCCGGAAAAACUCCCCCCUCCCCCCCCCCCCCCCCCCCAGCUUAAAAACUAAUUAGCCAUAUAGACCAACACUCUAUUCUAGCACGCCCUGCUAAAAAGACAGAGAUACCUUUGGUCCUGAUUAUAUAAUCUGAACCAGAUCGUUGGAGUUUUUCGGUUUACAAAAUCCGGUCAAUUUCAAAAUGUGAUUUUUGGUGUUUUCUUUGAAGUCAAAGGUCUCUGUUGACCGUUAUAUAACCCCCGCAUAAGCUGCAAAGCAAUUGUUGGGUGAAGUGAAGAAUGAAGAAAUUUGUUGAAGAUGGAAGCCUAUUUAUAGCCUAAAAUAAGUCAUAUGUCAUAAGUACAGUCAAUGAAAACGUGUUUGUGGUGCUAACCAUCCAAAAAUGCAUUAAUGGCUCCACUAACCAGCCAAACCUUUGGUGAAACGCCACCGUCCAAAAGAAACUGAGGGUUUUCGAAUUAUAUAAUCUGAAAAUGACAAAAAGAUUCCAGAUUAUAUAAUUCGAACAACAUCAGAAUGCCUAUUUGGAGGGUUUUUUUUAGAGAGAUUUUUUGGAAUAUGACAUAAAAUAAUUAAUAAAUGGAUAAAAAAAACAAGUAAGCAGUAGAAAACAACAUAAACAACAAAAUAUUUUAGGAUAGUGUUCUAAGUGGUGCUUUUGAACUCGAUCUAGCUGGCCUGCCAACUGACAUAUUUCUAUCGGAAGGCCAACUGGAUCGAGCUCAUAAAAACCUUUUCGGAUUCUAAUCUGCAACAUAACGUUGAAAGACAAGGUGUUUCCAGAGGAUAGUUUUGAGUUAGAUCCGGCUGCCUUUCCAAUUGAGAUAUUUAUAUCGCAUAGGCAGAACAAUCUAGCUCAUAGCAACCUCUUGGUAUUCAAAUAGAGAGCAACAUCUUUGUAUCUAUCUAUAUAUUUUUGACAACAUGCUGAAGAUCUACAUAAUGAUGUCAAAUAAAGAGCUAUCUAUUUGAGACAACAUUAGGUAGAUCCUCGGCGCAAUGACAAAAAAUUCAUGGUUUCUUUGGUGUGUUUGGUUGUAAUUUUGACAGCAUGCUGAAGAUCUUCAUCACGCAGUCAAAUAGAGAGCUAUCUAUUUGUGAUCGUGAGAGAAAGAUCAUAUGUUUAAUGACAAAAAUUUGCAUGGUUUUCUUUGGUGUGUUUGUGUGUUUGGUUGGAAAUGAAGAUGAAAACCGGAAAUACUUAUUUAUACAGGUCUCUGGACAUUUUGGACCAUAGAAACUGUCGGUGCAUUGUGAUUCAUACAAAAGAAUCCUAUCUGAAGGAAUUCGGAUUAUGUAAUUUGAAUUGCACUUACAGCCUAUAAAAUUGAUUUGAAUUCGGAUUAUUUUAGCAUUUAACUAAACAUAUUUGACGUAAAGUAACACAUAAUGAAAAUUUAGAUAAUAUAUAUAUUAUUUAAAACAUAAUAAAACAUCUUAGUUGAACAAAAUAUAACUUACACGUAAUUAAAUAAAACAUAAAACACGUAACUAAAUAAAAAAUAGUACAUCAUCAUAGAUCAUUUAAACUAAUGUCUUCGUCUGGUGCAUCCAUUAAUUAGUUCCCUGAUCUCUUCGUAGUUCCUGGGCCGGAUCAAAAUUUGUUGAAUAUGUUAAACAAAUCUAACCAACGAAGCAUCCAACUUGAUUGGUCCUCUAGUACUGUACUGACCAAAGAUCGAGAACAUGGUUCUCACCUCGUCAUCUUUUUUGAGCUUCAUCCUGCUGAACUACACACUCCCGGCUAAGUCGGUCGAUGGACAUCGAUACUCUACAUCAUCCACUGAUGUAGUAUUUUUGCAUCAAACAAUUGUAAGUAUUUAUAUCGUCUCCUCAGGGACUAGUGCGAUAUCGCGGACCGUUCGACACCAAAUAUCAUUUCAAGUUAAACGAUAGUUGAUUGUUUGUUUUAGUAACUGAAUUGCAAAUGAUACAAUUGAGAUUAAUAGGGCGUAAAACUUGUUAGGAUUAGAGUUCCUUGAUCGAGCGUCGCACGUAACCUAAUGAGCAUACAUGGAUUCUAGCUUGUCUUUGAUAUUAUCACGUAUCCCUCGACAACACCAUUCGUGUCCAAACAAUAUUGUGAAAUCAAUUGUAUCAUUCAAUGGUCGAUGUCUCAAACUAUUGAAUGAUUCAAGAGUCGAUCUUAUCGUUCAAUCGAUGAUUUCUCAAUCUAUUAAAUGAUAAGAAAGCUUUAGGUUUGGAUACUCAAGGUGAUUAUCAAAACAUCGAUUCCAUGUCUAGAAACUAUGUUUUGAUAGAUGGUUAUUCUAAACCUAGAUUCAAAAGUAUUUCUCAAUCACAAUUAAAUCAAAGAUAAAGAUUAAAGUGCAAGAAUAACCUCAAUAUCAAUUCAAAUGCUAGAACCAUAUAUUUAUAGAUCAAACGAUUACAUGUUAAACUAUGAUCAAGUACCUCUAAUCCCAACAAAGGAGAUUUAGCUACUCAUUGUCAUGGAAGCCUUGCAAGAAUGAAUUGAAGAAGCAAGAUUCAUUACAACUUGUGAUGUCUCAACAAAGGAUGAAGAAUCCACUCUCUAUCACUCUCACUCUAUAAAGCACAAGCCCUAUCUCUCUCUCUCUAAGAAUAUUACAAGUGAAAACACAGAGAGAAACUAAGUGAAAAACUAUGUAAAAACUAUCUCCCUCUGAAAUGGUUGAGUGGGCUAUUUAUAGAAUUCUGAGUCUGCCUUCACUCGCCUCGCGAGCUGCUUCAUUCGCCAUGGCGAGUUGAAGUUUCUUCCCCAUUGGGUUUGUGCCACGUCAGCAUUUAGAGGCUAAACCGCCCUUACUCGCCUCGCGAGUCCUUCCAUUCGCCAUGGCGAGUAAGCUCGCCUUCUACUCGCCAUUGCGAGUUGGUGGCGUGUGAUCUUUGUUGCAUUCUGGAAUUGCUCGCCUUUGCUGCUUGCCAUGGCGAGUUGGAGGCGAGUGAUCUCCUUUUUCUGCCUUUUUGUACUUUUCUCGAUUUUCUUCUCUUUGCUUGAUGUCUUGAGUUCGAAUCCUGCACAAAUGGGUGAAGUAAGAUAGAUAAAGCGUAAAAGGGCAAUAAUCACUUAUUUCUCGGCUUUUCCCUUAAUAACUUGCAAAACAAGUAACAAAAGUGCCUAAAAUAUAUCACUUAAAUUACAACUUUCUAGCACUUAUCAUCCACCCUCCGUGUGUCUUUGUAGUUGAGUUUGAGGUUAAUUUGAUUCAGCCGACUCUUCAACCCGGAGAGGGUGAGAUCAGUGGGAAUCUUGAACAAAUGGGAUGGUUUCCCCUCGUUGUAGUAAACUACGGCUAGCUUGGUGUUCGGAUCAAAGACAGAGUUUUCCAUGGUUUUUUUGUGUGUGUAGUUUCUGGUUAUGAACACAGAGACACCUAUUUAUAGAGGUCCAUGGGCGUCCUGGACCAUAGAAAUUGUCGGUGCAAUGUGGACCACAUGAAAAAAAA
rnacentral:lncRNA from 1 species